rnacentral:rRNA from 1 species
UUAUUAGGCAUAUUAUUUGUAGCAGAUGUAUUGUAAUUCAUAUUUCCGGAUGUAUUAUUUGUGUUAGGCAAGUUGUUUGGAGAAUUACUACUUUUAGGAUAAUGAUUUACAUUAUUAGGAUAUAAGUUAUUUAUGUUCUGGUUAUUAGGUAUUUUUGUAUAACCAUUAGAAAUUUGAGGGUCAUUUCUCAAUUCAUCUUGGGGAAUUUCUUCAUUAGUAAUAUAAUCUGCAUAGUUCGCUGGGUCUAAGUAAGGCAUGUAACUAGUAUCUAAAUCCUUUUUUUUCUUGUUACUCAUAUUAAACUUGCACCUCCUAGAAAACUAUAAAAAAGUUUACAAAAACUUAUUCUAAUAAUAUAUAUAUUAAAAAAGUUUAUAAUAUGUGCAUUCUAUUUAUAUUAAAUUAAUAAAAAUUAUUGUUGCAAAUUUAGAAAUGAUAACAUAUAAUGAACAUAUGAACAGUUAUUCAUAUAUUAAAAUAAUGGAGGAUUAAAAAUGAGAGAAGAGAUAAAUGAUUGUAAUUGUAAUAUAGUACAUGAAGAAAUAGUAACAGAGGCUAAAUCAACUAUGCCAGAUGAAGAAAUGUUAUAUGAUUUAGCAGAAUUAUUUAAAGUAUUUGGGGAUACUACUAGAGUAAAGAUAUUAUAUGCAUUAUUUGCAAAUGAAAUGUGUGUAUGUGAUAUAGCGAGUUUAUUAAAUAUGACUCAUUCUGCAAUAUCUCAUCAACUUAGAGUAUUAAAGCAGGCUAGAUUAGUAAAGUUUAGAAGAGAAGGAAAAACAGUGUAUUACUCAUUAGAUGAUAGUCAUAUAAGUCAGAUAUUUGAUUGUGGAUUAAAUCAUAUUAGAGAGACUUAUAAAUGAUAAAUGAGAGGAGUGAAUAUAUAUGGAAGCAAAUAAUUCAAUUAAAAAAGAAUUUAUACUAGGAGGAUUAAAUUGUGCUCACUGUGCAGAGGAGAUUAAUAAUAAAGUUUCUAAACUACAAGAAGUUAAAUCUUCCAAUUUAAAUUUUAUAAAUAAAAAACUUACAGUAAAUAUAAAGGAAAGUUUUAAUGAGGAUACUACUAUAGAAAAGAUAAUAGAUAUAAUAGAUUCAACAGAGCCAGGUCUUGAUAUACAAAUAAGUUCUAAAGAAAAUGCAGCUAGUAAAACAUCAAUUAAAAAAGAGCUUAUAUUAGGAGGAUUAAACUGUGCUCAUUGUGCAGAAGAGAUUAAUAACAAAGUUUCUAAAUUAAAAGAAGUUGAAUCUUCUAAUUUAAACUUUGUAAAUAAAAAACUUACAGUAAAUAUAAGUAAUAACUUUGAAGAGGAUGAUGUUAUAAAUAAAAUAAAAGAAAUAAUAAAUUCAACAGAGCCAGGGCUUGAUAUACAAGUAGGGUCUACUGACAAAGUAAAAGGGAGAACUACUGAAAAAUCAGGAGCUGUAAAUGAUACAAAUAAGAAAGAAUUAAUUCCACUUAUAAUUGGAGCACUUGUAUAUAUAUUUGGUAUAUAUCAAACAGCUACAGGUUAUGAAAGUCAGUUUAGCAAUAUAGUAUUUAUAGUUGCCUAUGUAAUAGUAGGUGGUGAUGUGCUUUUAAGAGCAAUAAGAAAUAUAUCAAAAGGAAGAGUAUUUGAUGAGAACUUUUUGAUGGCUCUAGCAACAGUAGGAGCAUUAGCAAUAGGGGAGUUAUCAGAAGCAGUAGGGGUUAUGCUUUUCUAUAAAGUAGGAGAGUAUUUACAAGGUGUUGCAGUUGGUAAAUCUAGAAAGUCUAUAACUUCACUUAUGCAAAUAAGACCAGACUAUGCAAAUCUAAAAGUUAAUUCUGAAGUUAAGGUGGUGUCACCAGAAGAGGUAAAUGUAGGUGAUAUAAUAGUAGUAAAACCUGGUGAAAAAGUACCAUUAGAUGGUGUAGUAGUAGAUGGAGUUUCUAUGUUAGAUACUUCUGCACUCACAGGAGAGUCAGUGCUGAGAGAAGUUGAAAAAGGAGAUGAAAUCUUAUCAGGUGUUAUAAAUAAAAAUGCUUUAUUGAGUAUUGAAGUUACAAAGAGUUUUGGAGAAUCAACAGUUUCUAAGAUUCUUGACCUUGUUGAAAAUUCUAGCAUUAAAAAAUCAAAGACAGAAAACUUUAUAUCUAAGUUUUCAAGAUACUAUACUCCAAUAGUAGUAAUAGCUGCUUUAUUAAUAGCAUUUGUGCCACCACUUGUAAUCUCAGGUGAGGUAUUUAGUGAUUGGUUAUAUAGAGGAUUGAUAUUCUUAGUCGUUUCUUGCCCUUGUGCAUUAGUUUUAUCAAUACCACUUAGUUUUUUUAGUGGAAUUGGGUUUGCAUCUAAAAAUGGUAUCCUUAUUAAAGGAAGUAACUAUUUAGAAGCUUUAAGAAGUGUAGAUACAGUAGUAUUUGAUAAAACAGGAACACUUACUAAAGGUGUGUUCAAUGUAACUAAGUUAAAUCCUGAAGGUAUAUCAGAAGAAGAAUUAUUAGAAUAUGCAGCUAUUGCGGAGGUAAAUUCAAAUCAUCCAAUAGCAAAGUCCAUAUUAAGUUACUAUAAUAAAAAAAUUGAUUUAGAUACAAUAGACAGUUAUGAGGAAAUAGCAGCUUAUGGAAUUAGAGUAAAGCAUAAUGGCAAUUUUAUAUUAGCAGGUAAUGAGAAACUUAUGAAAAAAGAAAAUAUAUCUUAUUCAUCAGCUAAAGAAGUAGGCACAGUAGUCUAUAUUGCUGUUGAUAAAGCAUAUAGAGGUUAUAUAGUUAUCUCUGAUGAAGUAAAAGAAGAUAGUAAAAAUGCCAUAAGAAGCUUAAAAGAAAUAGGGGUAAAAGAAGUUGUAAUGUUAACUGGAGAUAAUGAGAAAGUAGCAAAAAAUAUUGCUCAAGAAUUAGAAUUGGAUACAGUUUACUCAAAUUUACUUCCUAAUGAAAAGGUAGAUAGAUUAGAAGAUUUAUAUGAAGGAAGAACUGAAAAAGAGAAAAUAGCGUUUGUAGGUGAUGGAAUAAAUGAUGCUCCAGUAUUAGCUCGUGCUGAUGUUGGUAUAGCUAUGGGAGGCUUAGGUUCAGAUGCUGCUAUUGAAGCUGCAGAUGUAGUGCUUAUGACAGAUGAGCCUAGCAAGAUAUCUAAAGCAAUUGAAAUAGCAAACAAGACUAAUAAGAUAGUGUGGCAAAACAUAAUAUUUGCUCUAGGAGUAAAAAUUAUAGUUAUGAUACUAGGUGCUGGAGGAGUAGCUACUAUGUGGGAAGCUAUAUUUGCUGAUGUAGGUGUGGCACUUAUAGCAGUAGUAAAUGCUAUGAGAGCUAUGAGAUAAGGGAUAAAUGUAAAUCCAUACUAUUUAAAAAACUUAUAAUUAUAUAUUGAAGUAUGUAAUAAUGAAAGGUAUCAAUAAGUUUCUUUUAACUUUAUUGGUACCUUUUUAUUGGAGCGCUUUGCAUAUAUAAAUUUAUAUUCAUUAUCCAUUAUGUUUAUUUAAUGUAUUUAUUUAGUGUAGAGCUUUUAUAUUGUAAUUUUAAAAUUUAGACAUAGAAGGUUUAUUAAUAAGUUUAUAUUAAGUUUAAAUUAGAUUCAUAAAAAUUAUAAUACUUAUGAUUGUAUAUAUAUUAUAUUAAUAGUUGUAAUUUUUACAACAAAAUGUGUGUGUUAAAAUACUCUAAACCAACAGUAUGACUGCCAUUCAAUAAAUUAUGUAAUAUAAGAAAGUAAAUAUUUUUAAAAAAUAAUUUUAAAAAGUAUUGACGAAUUAUUUUUAAGGUGAUAUAGUAUUACUUGUCCUUAAGAAAAGGGCAAACAUAAAAAAUGAACUUUGAAAAUUAAACAGUAGGUUAAUUUAUAAAACAAGAAACAAACCAUAAAGCCAGAUAUUUUGAUAACAAUAGUAUCUGAGCCUGAUAAACUUUUAUUUGAGAGUUUGAUCCUGGCUCAGGAUGAACGCUGGCGGCGUGCCUAACACAUGCAAGUUGAGCGAUUUACUUCGGUAAAGAGCGGCGGACGGGUGAGUAACGCGUGGGUAACCUACCCUGUACACACGGAUAACAUACCGAAAGGUAUGCUAAUACGGGAUAAUAUAUUUGAGAGGCAUCUCUCGAAUAUCAAAGGUGAGCCAGUACAGGAUGGACCCGCGUCUGAUUAGCUAGUUGGUAAGGUAACGGCUUACCAAGGCGACGAUCAGUAGCCGACCUGAGAGGGUGAUCGGCCACAUUGGAACUGAGACACGGUCCAAACUCCUACGGGAGGCAGCAGUGGGGAAUAUUGCACAAUGGGCGAAAGCCUGAUGCAGCAACGCCGCGUGAGUGAUGAAGGCCUUCGGGUCGUAAAACUCUGUCCUCAAGGAAGAUAAUGACGGUACUUGAGGAGGAAGCCCCGGCUAACUACGUGCCAGCAGCCGCGGUAAUACGUAGGGGGCUAGCGUUAUCCGGAUUUACUGGGCGUAAAGGGUGCGUAGGCGGUCUUUC